rnacentral:rRNA from 1 species
CUAUGCGCCUUGCCCAGCCCGCUCAGAAACUCAAAGGAAUUGACGGGGGCCCGCACAAGCGGUGGAGCACGUGGUUUAAUUCGAAGCAACGCGAAGAACCUUACCAAGACUUGACAUCCCCUGACAGCUGUUGAAAGGCAGUGUCUCUUCGGAGCAGGGAGACAGGUGGUGCAUGGUUGUCGUCAGCUCGUGUCGUGAGAUGUUGGGUUAAGUCCCGCAACGAGCGCAACCCUUAUCCUUAGUUACCAGCACGUAAAGGUGGGGACUCUAGGGAGACCGCCGGGGACGACUCGGAGGAAGGUGGGGACGACGUCAAAUCAUCAUGCCCCUUAUGUCUUGGGCUACACACGUGCUACAAUGGCCGCAACAGAGGGAAGCGAGAGCGCAAGCUGGAGCAAAACCCUAAAAAGCGGUCCCAGUUCGGAUUGUGGGCUGCAACCCGCCCACAUGAAGUCGGAGUUGCUAGUAAUCGCGAAUCAGCAUGUCGCGGUGAAUGCGUUCCCGGGCCUU